GGGCUGGGCGGCGGCCUACACAUGCAGUCGAGCGGCAGCGGGUCCUUCGGGAUGUCGGCGAGCGGCGGACGGGUGAGUAAUGCCUAGGAAUCUGCCUGGUAGUGGGGGAUAACGUUCGGAAACGGACGCUAAUACCGCAUACGUCCUACGGGAGAAAGUGGGGGAUCUUCGGACCUCACGCUAUCAGAUGAGCCUAGGUCGGAUUAGCUAGUUGGUGGGGUAAUGGCUCACCAAGGCGACGAUCCGUAACUGGUCUGAGAGGAUGAUCAGUCACACUGGAACUGAGACACGGUCCAGACUCCUACGGGAGGCAGCAGUGGGGAAUAUUGGACAAUGGGCGAAAGCCUGAUCCAGCCAUGCCGCGUGUGUGAAGAAGGUCUUCGGAUUGUAAAGCACUUUAAGUUGGGAGGAAGGGCAGCUAGUUAAUACCUGGUUGUUUUGACGUUACCAACAGAAUAAGCACCGGCUAACUUCGUGCCAGCAGCCGCGGUAAUACGAAGGGUGCAAGCGUUAAUCGGAAUUACUGGGCGUAAAGCGCGCGUAGGUGGUUCAGCAAGUUGGAGGUGAAAUCCCCGGGCUCAACCUGGGAACUGCCUCCAAAACUACUGAGCUAGAGUACGGUAGAGGGUAGUGGAAUUUCCUGUGUAGCGGUGAAAUGCGUAGAUAUAGGAAGGAACACCAGUGGCGAAGGCGACUACCUGGACUGAUACUGACACUGAGGUGCGAAAGCGUGGGGAGCAAACAGGAUUAGAUACCCUGGUAGUCCACGCCGUAAACGAUGUCGACUAGCCGUUGGGAUCCUUGAGAUCUUAGUGGCGAAGCUAACGCGAUAAGUCGACCGCCUGGGGGAGUACGGCCGCAAGGUUAAAACUCAAAUGAAUUGACGGGGGCCCGCACAAGCGGUGGAGCAUGUGGUUUAAUUCGAAGCAACGCGAAGAACCUUACCUGGCCUUGACAUGCUGAGAACUUUCCAGAAGAUGGAUUGGUGCCUUCGGGAACUCAGACACAGGUGCUGCAUGGCUGUCGUCAGCUCGUGUCGUGAGAUGUUUGGGUUAAGUCCCGUAACGAGCGCAACCCUUGUCCUUAGUUACCAGCCACGUUAUGGUGGGGACUCUUAAGGAGACUGCCGGUGACAAACCGGAGGAAAGGUGGGGGAUGAAGUCCAAGUCUUCCUUGGGCCCUUUAUCGCCGGGGGGUACACACCUUGCUUCCAAUGGUCGGGGUGCAAAAGGGUGUGCCCAGCCCCCCGAGGGUGGAGGUAAUCCCCUUAAAACCAACCUUAUUUCCGGAAGCCAAGUCUGGGACUCCCACCGGGCCGGAGAUCCGGAACCCUCUUUAAUCCUGGGAUACAAAUAUGUCACGGGGGAAAAAAUUCCUCCGCGCCUGGUACCACCCGCGCGUCCACCACAGGGGAGUGGGUGGUCCCAAGAAGCUUUCUAACCCCCAGGGGAAGGUACCAAGAUUCAU
rnacentral:rRNA from 1 species